rnacentral:lncRNA from 1 species
GACCCUCGGCUUCUGCCCCCAGAUUGGCAGGCUGGAACUGGGCCCUGCCUCACCCUCAGAGGACUUUGAGCCUAUUGCAGUUACCAAUUUAUUUACCAAUUUAUUACAGUUUAGAGACCACAAGUACUUGUGAGUUUUUCUUUUGCCAGGUUGUAACUGGUGCAUCACAAUGAACACAGUAAAAAAGGGAAAUUAACCGAUUUACAUUUGUUUGCAGAAGCCAUUAUCUUCUCUGUGUGAAGAUUCUGAAGACCUUUCACCCUCCAUCCCUGUUCUCUUGGUCAAGUUGAAUCCUUUAAGGACUUGGAAGACUGCGGGCCAGUGGCCUAAAAUCCCGUUCAGCUGCAGCUCAGCUCUUUGAACAGCCGAGGGUUAUCUCCCACAGGAUGGUGUGAGGAAAACUCUAGGAGAGGUGCUGCUGCUGCUGCUGCUAAGUCGCUUCAGUCGUGUCCGAGUCUGUGCGAUCCCACAGAUGGCAGCCCACCAGGCUCCCGCCGUCCCUGGGAUUCUCCAGGAGAGAACACUGGAGCGGGUUGCCAUUUCCUUCUCCAAUGCAUGAAAGUGAAAAGUGAAAGUGAAGUUGCUCAGUCGUGUCCAACUCUUAGCAACCCCAUGGACUGCAGCCUACCAGGCUCCUCCGUCCGUGGGAUUUUCCAGGCAAGAGUACUGGAGUGGGGUGCCAUUGCCUUCUCCGAGGAGAGGUACUAAUCAAUGUAAAAUGAAAAAAAAAAUGUACAAAAUGCUGUAAAUGGGCAUUUUGUAGGCAGACAUUGUUCUUUGUUUUGUGAUGAAUCUGUUGACUUUUAUUUUGUUUAGUUAGCAAAUAUGUGCCGGUUUCCGGCCUGCCCUGUGCCCUGCACUGUGUGGGGGUCCAGAGCUCAGCUGGGUCUGAGACAAAUGUGGUCCUGCCCCUGCACAGCUUGCCCUCUAGAGAGAGGCAGCCCACAAGUAACUACAAGGGUGAUGAAGAGGGACUAUGACAGGUAGACCUGGAAGUAGUUUUGGUUAGGGGCACAGGGAAAGCCUCAGGAGGAAGUGAGAUUUAACCUGAUGUCCCUCAAAUAAAAAUUAACCAUUUAGCUAACAUUUUCAGUUCAGUUCCAUUCAGUCGCUCAGUCGU